rnacentral:rRNA from 1 species
GAUGAACGCUAGCUACAGGCUUAACACAUGCAAGUCGAGGGACAGGCGCACGGGUGAGUAAAAAGUAUCCAACCUGCCCUUUACUCGGGGAUAGCCUUUCGAAAGAAAGAUUAAUACCCGAUGUAAAGGAUGGGGAUGCGUUCCAUUAGGUUGUUGGUGAGGUAACGGCUAACCAAGCCUUCGAUGGAUAGGGGUGCUGAGAGGAAGGUCCCCCACAUUUGAACUGAGACACGUUCCAAACUCCUACGGGAGGCAGCAGUGAGGAAUAUUGGUCAAUGGGCGUUAGCCUGAACCAGCCAAGUAGCGUGAAGGAUGAAGGCUUAUGGGUCGUAAACUUCUUUUAUAUAAGAAUAUGUAUUAUAUGAAUAAGGAUCGGCUAACUCCGUGCCAGCAGCCGCGGUAAUAU